UGUUUUUCUCCACCAUCAUCAGUUUGUAUGUAUGGUUGUUUCAUACAACCAUACAUACAAACUGAUGAUGGUGGAGAAAAACA
rnacentral:pre_miRNA from 13 species